rnacentral:rRNA from 1 species
UACGGAGGAUGCGAGCGUUAUCCGGGUUUAUUGGGUUUAAAGGGUGCGUAGGCGGUUUGCCAAGUCAGCGGUGACACGCAAGGGCUCAACCCUUGGCCUGCCGUUGAAACUGGCGGACUUGAAUGCGGAUGCUGUGGGAGGAAUGUGUGGUGUAGCUGUGAAAUGCAUAGAUAUCACACAGAACACCGAUUGCGAAGGCAUCUCACAAAUCCGUGAUUGACGCUGAGGCACGAAAGUGUGGGGAUCAAAC